AUUGAACGCUGGCGGCAGGCCUAACACGUGCAAGUCGAGCGGAUGAAGGGAGCUUGCUCCUGGAUUCAGCGGCGGACGGGUGAGUAAUGCCUAGGAAUCUGCCUGGUAGUGGGGGAUAACGUCCGGAAACGGGCGCUAAUACCGCAUACGUCCUGAGGGAGAAAGUGGGGGAUCUUCGGACCUCACGCUAUCAGAUGAGCCUAGGUCGGAUUAGCUAGUUGGUGGGGUAAAGGCCUACCAAGGCGACGAUCCGUAACUGGUCUGAGAGGAUGAUCAGUCACACUGGAACUGAGACACGGUCCAGACUCCUACGGGAGGCAGCAGUGGGGAAUAUUGGACAAUGGGCGAAAGCCUGAUCCAGCCAUGCCGCGUGUGCGAAGAAGGUCUUCGGAUUGUAAAGCACUUUAAGUUGGGAGGAAGGGCAGUAAGUUAAUACCUUGCUGUUUUGACGUUACCAACAGAAUAAGCACCGGCUAACUUCGUG
rnacentral:rRNA from 1 species